GUUAAUUCAGGUUCAGUUUUGCAAAUCUGCAGCAAUCAAGUCCUAAUCCCUUUCCGCUGUUUUAGGUUGCUUGGAAUUCAGUUUUGCAAGUCUCUGCAGCGGUUAAUUAAAAAGAAGAUGCCAUGCUCAGUCUCGCUACUGCUACGAAGACUCUAACAAAGAUGUCUAGAAUCAGUCCCUCUUCGCAUCUCUAUCAAAUAACAUGAAAACAUCACACUCAUUUUUUGUUCAUAUUCUUAAGUGUUCAUUGUUCAUUAUUUUUGUUCGUUGGUCUGUAAGCUUGCCUUCUCAGUCUUAAUUAUCAUUUGCAUCUUUCUUCAGUACUAUCUCUCAUGGGUUUUGUCUUUUAGUAGAUGAUUAUUUCUGUUGUGAACCUUAUGUUCCUGUAAGUGUUAAAAAAUUUCAGUUUUUUGCACUGGUUUUUUCGUUAGAUUAUUUUCAGUUUUUAGUCAUCAGUAUACCUAAGUAUCAGUCUCAGUUCUUUUCAGCUAUAUGUUAAGAGGUUAUUAUUUCGCCAGUAUCUUAAGUGUCUCAUUUUAGUUCUCUUUAGUUAUUUGGUCAGUGUUUGUUCUUGUCUAUCAGUUUUAAGUUCAGUCAUUUAUUAGUGUACUUUCCAUUCAGCUUAUUAUUUUCAAUUUAUUUUGUUGUUCUUGUAUUUUCAGCAUUCAUUUUAAAAUGGUUAGACUUGCUAUGUGUUUAUAAUUCCUGUAGUGUAAAUUAGUUAUCUGGUGAGUCUCUAUUCUUAAUUUUUCAGUCAUCUUUUUGCUAAAAAAUAGUUUUUUUCUACCACAUGUGUAACAGUAAUAGGGAUGGUGUGCCAAAUCUGCAAGUCCAACUGAGCUAGCCAUCGCUCAUCGGGUUUAAAUUUUCGUGUUUGAUUGUCUGAAGACAUUGAAAGCUCGGUGUUUAUCCCAUGCCACUCAACGGGCGAAUUCAAUUGCGCCACUGGCGACCGCAUGCUGUUUGAGGAAUGUGAGGGGCACAAAUUCAUCACCAAGAUCAGGAAAGAACACAGGAGGACCUGCAUCUCUGGCAUUGGGUGGGAGGAGUUCAUCAGGUUGAACAAUCUCAGUGAGGGAGUUUUGCUCCGUUUUGUACUCGAUUGACCAGUGCCAAAGUUGCAUAUUUGCAUGGUUGCGCCACCUCCCAACCAGGCUGAUCUAGCGCUUGAGGCUGCUGUGUUCACGGAAGACAUCAAGAAGAAGGCAAGAGAGUGUGCAAAGCUGUAUGAAAGUCUACUAUAUUGACCAACGGAUACAUGGGGUGCCAUUUGUGCAUCUUUUUUUGUUCAUUUUCAGUGUGACCAUUCAAUCUUCAGUUUUCUGGUCUCCAGUAUAUUCUUGUUGUGGUCAAUUUUGAACUAGAGAAGAAAGUUAAAGGGACAUAUAGCU